rnacentral:rRNA from 1 species
UACGGAGGGGGCGAGCGUUAUUCGGAAUUACUGGGCUUAAAGGGUGCGUAGGCUGUGCGGAAAGUUGGGUGUGAAAUCCCCCGGCUCAACCGGGGAAUUGCGCCCAAAACUACCGUGCUUGAGGCAGGCAGGGGAGAUCGGAAUUCCUGGUGUAGCGGUGAAAUGCGCAGAUAUCAGGAGGAACACCGGUGGCGAAGGCGGAUCUCUGGGCCUGUCCUGACGCUCAGGCGCGAAAGCUAGGGGAGCAAACAGG